AACGAACGCUGGCGGCGUGCUUAACACAUGCCAGUCGAACGGAAAGGCCCUGCUUUUGUGGGGUGCUCGAUUGGCGAACGGGUGCGUAACACGUGAGUAACCUACUCUUGACUUUGGGAUAACUUCACGAAACGGGGGUUAAUACCGGACAGGAGCCCCUCUCGCAUUGUGAGGGUUGGAAAGUUUCGGCGGUCGUGGAUGGACGCGCGGCUUAUCAGCUAGUUGGUGGGGUAGUGGCUUACCAAGGCUUUGACGGGACGCCGGCCUGAGAGGGUGGCCGGCGACCAUAGGCCUGAGGUACGGACCAGACUGCAACGUGAGGCAGCAGUGGAGAGGAUUACACAGUCGGCGGAAGUCUGAUGCGGCAACGCCGCGGUCGUAAAGACGGUUUGCGGGUAGUGAACAGCUGUCGCCUGUGACGAAGCGUGAGUGACGGUAAUUGAUAAAGAAGCACCGGCUAACUACGUG
rnacentral:rRNA from 1 species